rnacentral:sRNA from 1 species
UAUUUUUUUUGUCAUAUCAUCUUAUUGAUUUAUAAAUCAGCAGUGUAGUCACAAUGUAGAGCAUAGGUUAUUACAUUAGGAACCCAGAAAUGAUUCAGGAAUAAAGAUUGGUUUUGGAGAGGAGCUUUAGCAAGAAUAUCAGCUGGAGUAUUGUGAUGUCUUCUUAUCCAAUUGAAAUGGAUUGAUUCAAACUUCCUUAACCACCAAUGAAUGUCCCGUAUCCAGUUGUGAACGCCAAAAUAUACCUUGGAUCCGUUAAUUAGGUCAAACAGCAUCUUGUUAUCUCCUUCAAAGCAAACCCGUUUGUAACCAUGACUCCAACAGUGCUGCAUUGAAAUGAUUAGCGCUUGAAUUUCACUCUCCAGAGCAUUGUCCACCUUUCUUCCUAUAGCCUGCCCCGCCAGUAGAUAACUUCCAUUACUAUCCCGAACAACCCAACCUGCUUUACUUUU